CAUAAAGUCUGUCAUUGAGUCGACUGGCGUGGUUUCGAAUCCCCGGUUGUACAUGACAAGGAGUAGGGUCGCCUGUCCAACCUCGUGGAUUUUCUCCGGGUCCUCCGGUUUCCUCCCACUGCUAAAGACCCCUACGCACAAGCGAAUUAUUGAAAUAAAAUUAAACCAUAUAUUAGUCCCGAAAUGACCUAGUUUGUGUCGAGUGGACGUUAAACCCCAUUUCUCUCUCUCUCUCUCUCUCUCUCCGCCUCUGAAGUUAUCUGAUUUGGCCCAGCUGUUACUUUGAAGUUGUGUCAUCACGACGUUCACUCUUUUAGGGGCGUGUUUGUGCAAUGACUGGCCACGCCUUGUGGCAGUUUGGAAACGAUAUAAAAGACCAAUAAGAAUUGUAUCUGAUAUUCCUGAAAUCGUAACUGAUCAAAGAAUACUAAAAAUGAAGGUUUUUGCAGUUUUAGUUCUGGCUGUUGUGGUUUACAACCAUGAAGCUGAAGCAGUCGCUUGCAAUCGAUGGACAAAGUUCUAUAGUCGAGAUCUCCCAACUGCCACAGCAGACAAUGAAGAACUUGAUUUGAUUCGACAUGAAAACCCCAGAGAUAACAUCUGUGCAGUACCAUCGCGUAUUGAGGUUAGAACUGUUGAUGGAGUUGAUUAUAGAGAUGCUGGACAAGUUGUAAAGAUUGGUCCUACUUUUGGUUUCUUAUGCCUGAAUGCAGAUCAACCUGACGGAACUUGUUUAGAUUACAAAGUACGAUUCUGUUGUCCAUAAAAUCUUCACCUGUUAUUUUCUUAUAAAAUAUGUAACACUAAUUGUUAAUGAUAUCCUAAACCAUGUAAAACAAAUCUUUAUUUCUGAAAAAUAAACUUCUGCUAACAUGUU